rnacentral:misc_RNA from 1 species
AAGUCGUAACAAGGUUUCCGUAGGUGAACCUGCGGAAGGAUCAUUAACACGUUUCACAACGUAUCAACCAAACCGCGAACUAUGAACGUCUUUUUUAUUCAUGUUUUUGGAAGUGGGUGUUGGCCGGACGGACAUGGCUGUCAUGGCUAUGUUGAACAGUGGUGCGUGCACUACUGUGUACGACCAGCCACUCCCCCUUCUUUGAACAUGUCUUAUUCAACCCAAACCCAUUUGUUUAUUCAUUUAUUCUUUAAAGAUACGCCCUUGUGGUGAGUCUUUAAUACAAACUUGUACAACUCUUAGCAACGGAUAUCUUGGUUUCC